UGCUAAGGCUGUGUCCCAUAUGGCACUCUAUUCCCUAUAUAGUUCACUACUUUAUACCUGAGCCCUAUGGAUCUUUGCCAAAAGUAGUGCACUAUAUAAGGAAGAGGGUUCCAUUUGAGUGACAGCCAUUUGAGUGUUUACAGUCAAUAUGGUAGAAUACCAAUGAGUUAGAUGAACCAUGUGUGACAGAGAUACUGGGAGAGAAGGUGACAAAGAGACGCGGAGAGAAGGUGACAGAGAGAUGGGGAGAGAAGGUGACAGAGAGACAGGGAGAGAAGGUGACAGAGAGACGGGGAGAGAAGGUGACAGAGACAGGGAGAGAAGGUGACAGAGAGACAUCCUGAGAGAAGGUGACAGAGACAGGGAGAGAAGGUGACAGAGAGACAGGGAGAGAAGGUGACAGAGAGACGGGGAGAGAAGGUGACAGAGAGACAGGGAGAGAAGGUGACAGAGAGACAGGGAGAGAAGGUGACAGAGAGACAGGGAGAGAAGGUGACAGAGAGACGGGGAGAGAAGGUGACAGAGAGACAGGGAAAGAAGGUGACAGAGAGACAGGGAGAGAAGGUGACAGAGAGACAGGGAGAGAAGGUGACAGAGAGACAGGGAGAGAAGGUGACAGAGAGACAGGGAGAGAAGGUGACAGAGACAGGGAGAGAAGGUGACAGCGAGACGGGGAGCGAAGGUGACAGAGAGACGGGGAGAGAAGGUGACAGACAGGGAGAGAAGGUGACAGAGAGACAUCCUGAGAGAAGUUGACAGAGACAGGGAGUGAAGGUGACAGAGAGACAGGGAGAGAAGGUGACAGAGAGACAGGGAGAGAAGGUGACAGAGAGACGGGGAGAGAAGGUGACAGACAGGGAGAGAAGGUGACAGAGAGAAAGGGAGAGAAGGUGACAGAGAGGGAGAGAAGGUGACAGAGAGACAUCCUGAGAGAAGGUGACAGAGAGACGGGGAAAGAAGGUGACAGAGAGACGGGGAGAGAAGGUGACAGAGAGACGGGGAGAGAAGGUGACAGACAGGGAGAGAAGGUGACAGAGAGACAUCCUGAGAGAAGGUGACAGAGACAGGGAGAGAAGGUGACAGAGAGACAGGGAGAGAAGGUGACAGAGAGACAGGGAGAGAAGGUGACAGAGAGACGGGGAGUGAAGGUGACAGAGAGACGGGGAGAGAAGGUGACAGAGACAGGGAGAGAAGGUGACAGAGAGACGGGGAGAGAAGGUGACAGAGAGACAGGGAGAGAAGGUGACAGAGAGACAGGGAGAGAAGGUGACAGAGAGACGGGGAGAGAAGGUGACAGAGAGACGGGGAGAGAAGGUGACAGAGAGACGGGGAGCGAAGGUGACAGAGAGACAGGGAGAGAAGGUGACAGAGAGACAGGGAGAGAAGGUGACAGAGAGACAGGGAGAGAAGGUGACAGAGAGACAGGGAGAGAAGGUGACAGAGAGACAGGGAGAGAAGGUGACAGAGACAGGGAGAGAAGGUGACAGCGAGACGGGGAGCG
rnacentral:lncRNA from 1 species